rnacentral:tRNA from 1 species
GACUCCAUAGCUAAGUGGUUAUAGCAUGAGAUUGCAGUAGUAAAAGCAAUGUAUUGAUUAUCUAAUCUCGGGGUCGUGCGUUCGAGUCGCACUGGGGUCU